UAUAUUAUUUGCACGUGGUCAUCUGAGUUCACAGAAUUUUGGAAUCUUGUGUGAUACUAUUAGCAUUACCAAACAGUUGGGUCUUUUACCGAAGAUUAAAGAAAAACUGCCAUCAUUCCCAGAUGUUGAUGAAGGAACCAUUUCAACAAAAUUUACACCUCACAGACAAAAUCUAAUAAAAUUUGGAAUGGCACUAACCCCAGACGAUGUAACGCUGAUCGAUCAAUUAUAUAAUACACCUUGUAAGAAGUAUACUGACGGCUGGAGUAUGAUCACAGAUCUAGAAAACAGACUGAAAAUCAGCAAAGGAAAAAUGGAGGAAUUCAUUGGUUCGUUGGAAACCCUUAAUCUGCCACUGGCAAUUAAUGCGCUAACAGAAGGUCUGUAGGUCUAAUCUGCAAAUACUGUUUGGACAUCUGUGCCUCUUCUCAACUGAACGAAGGAUUUUCAGGUUAUGUUGAUGCAAUUAUCGAAUUCAUUACUGUACGAUGACCACAACAAUUAUUGUACAAACAUCAAAUAAAGAUGGCAGUGAUCUGCUAAGAUUCACGACCACUGUUAGUGGCCAGUGGUUCAAAGAUACAGGAAAUGCGUUCAGAUCAUGCAAAUUUCAACCCCUGUUGUCAAAGGGAUAUUUCAGAAAGUGGCACGCACUCAUGAUGACAGGGAAGUAUGAAGAAGCUCUGAUGUCGUUACUUCAGGGACUAUCGCUUGACCCCAAUGUCACCAGCGCUAAAACAACACUGGCUCAGGUUUUAACCAAUCAGUAAACAGAGGGAGUACAGGUAGUAACCAAUCAGGUGACAGAGUGAGUGCAAGUAGUAACCAAUCAGGUGACAGAGGGAGUUCGAGUAUAGCCAAUCAGGUGACAGAGGGAGUUCGAGUAGUAACCAAUCAAUUGAAGGAGAAAGUGCGAGUAGUAACACUAGCAACCAAAGCUCUUCCACAGAUGUAUGCUCCAGGGUGAGCGAGAGCUUAGCUUCUAAAUCAGGAAGCAAUUCCGAAGACACUUACUGUAAAGAUGAAGUAAAAACCAAAGAUGCCUUUGAUAUUGGUGCAGUGUGCGCUCAAAAGAAACGAAAGCAUUCUGACCCCACUACUGG